ACCUCUCGAGAUUCCUAGCGUCUUUUAGCUUCGCUUAGCCUUGAGGAAACAGUCUAAUUCAGAUUCUGAAGUCAACUGCGCCAACCAGAAAUGAACUCCAAAAUCUUCGUCGUUUUUACUCUUCUUGUUCUCUGCGUCUCUUUCAUUCAAGACAGCGAGGCUUUCACGGCCGGAGGCGGUGGAAAUAUCCCUCGAGGCGCAAGACGUGAACUUGAGCACGUACAAGUAGCGAGAGAACUGUGUCGAGUUGCAAGGACACACUGCAAGCGAGAAUUUUCUGCCGCCAGGGAGAUGGAAUGAUGAAUUUGACGGUGUUAUGAAACAGAACUGAAAAUAACAGAAUCCAAUCCAAUUAAUAAUGAAGAUCAAUAUCUAUUGUAUUGAAUUACCAAUAAAAUUUGAAUUGUAAAUAAAGAUAAUUUGCUGUUCAUGAGCUGGCCAUUAUUGUGCUAACUGAAUUAAAUGCAACUGUUGAAAAAAAUG